rnacentral:rRNA from 1 species
CUCUCUGCUAAGGUUACUGAAGUAUAGAGGGUGAAUUCUGCCCAAUGGUUGUAUAGUGAAACUGAGGACUAACGUCUAAAGCGAAACCCAACUGAAUGGCCGCGGUAACUCUGACCGUGAUAAUGUAGCACAAUAAAUAGCCAAUUAAUUGUUGGCGGGUAUGAAUGGAACCACGAGGGUCUUACUGUCUCAAGAGGAAAGCCAAUGAAAUUAUAGUUGUAGUGAAGAUACUACAUAAACAUUGUAAGACGAAAAGACCCUAUCGAGCUUUACUGGAUACCGAUAGCGUUAACUUAAAAUGAUCGAUACUAAGUAUCCUAAUUUUGAGUUAAUAAAAUUUGUUGGUAGGACAGUUUAGUUGGGGCGACUACCUUUGAAUAASAAACGAAGGCGAGCUUAUGGUAUACAAAGCUWAUCUCUUUAGCCUGACAGUGAGGGGGACACCCCUAGCUGGCACAAGGACUAGGUCCUAUGUGGGCGAUAAUGACCCGAUAWGAUUGUCCAAAAUAAAUAUYGAAARCGGAUAAAAGCUACCGUAGGGAUAACAGCGUAAUAUWGUSGGAGAGUUCUUAUMKAGGACASWGUUUGYGACCYCGAUGUUGAAUUGCGGUGCCC